rnacentral:lncRNA from 1 species
GUCCAUAUAAGUUUCCAGUGUUUCAAGCAGGUCCAAGGGUGUGUUUGGGAAAAGAAAUGGCAUUCACACAGAUGAAGUAUGUGUUGGCUUCAGUAUUAAGGCGGUUCGAGAUUAAACCGGUGAAUGUAGAUAACCCGGUCUUUGUGCCUCUUUUAACCGCCUAAGGCGGUUCGAGAUUAAACCGGUUAAUUUAAAUAAGCCGGUUUUUGUGCCUCUUUUAACCGCACACAUGGCUGGUGGAUUCAAUGUGGGAAUAUAUCACCGGGGUAGCUAGCGCCUAGCUGGUGAAAUGUAAAACAUUGUACUGAUGAUCAAAUACUUUCAUACUUGUUGGAAGAAAGGAAAAAGUUAAUUCUAUGUUUAAUAUAUGUAUAAUCUAUAUAUAAAAUAUACGUAUGCUAACUAGAAAAAGUAAAUACUGAAUUUAGUUGGCUGUUUGUGUAACAAUCCUGACUUAGAUCUGAAUGAAAAUACUUUGAUUUUUAUUUACCUCUUUUCUUGACAAUUCGCCUGUAUGAAAACGUGGCUGGAUUUGGUUAUGUUGGAAGAGGAUUGCUAUUAAUAUUUGGAGAGAGGCUUUUAGGCUAAGGGAAUUUUUGAAGAGUAGAAAGAUUUUGAAGAAGAGAAACUUUUAUUACUCAAACUUGUUUUUGAUUUGG